GGGAACAUCAAAUGAGAAACUGGGAAGAGAUAUGAAGUAGCGGGACCAGUUUUUCUAAAUGGUUAUCAAGUUUCUCAACAGAAAGCUCAACUGAUCAAAGAGAAGGAAGGAAGCAAUUUGCUGGACUCCCAGGACACCAACGCAGAGCUACCUUCGAGCCGGCACUGUGUGACUGCAUGGAGACUGUCUGUGCCAGUGGGCCAGACCUAAAGAAGGAACUACCAGAUGAUGCUGAGGAUUCCUGCAUUCAUCGACAGAAGCAGUUUAGUGAGACAAAGGAACCGUAAGGCAGGAUAUGCAGUAACUGCUACUGAGCAGAAGGAGCACUGAUGGCCAUCGGUUGCUGUGUUAUCCUGUGUGUGAAGGGGCUGGUUCAACAACUGAUCGAGACAGCACUACUGAAGCAAACAGCAAGGGAGCCACCACCACAUUCGGGUAAAAUGAUGGUGUGAGAGGAGAUGGGGAAUGAAGACAGCAAAGAUGAUAUCUGUAAGAUUGUACCAUAUAAAAGAAUUGCAGAAAUCAACAAUGUAAGAAGAAGAAAAGGGGGGAAUUGUAGGAAUGGAAUGUUGUUUCUGCAUUAGAUACUGAAAAUGGGGAAUUGAUCCGAAGAAGUAGAGCACAAUGGAUUUGUAUUUUGUAACUUGUCCUUAGAAAUAGCUGAUGUGAAAAGGUAGAAAUACUGGAUAUGUUAGUAGCGUAUUUCAGAAGUAUAGCUGCUGAAUUAUGUGAUUAGUUCUUGCUUGCAAAACUGCAAUAGUUUUUAAAUGUUCCAGAUAGUAUAGGGAUAGUACGAUGGACUAGAAAGCAUAUUGUAGGGCUAUUCUGUUUAGAUAAGAGAACCUCAGCAAGAGAAAAACAGACUUGACCAACAUCAAAGAAGCCAGGGCCUCUGCACAAGGUUGGAUUGCCUCGCUCUGUGGGUAGGUGCAACAGGCAGGCAUCAAGAUACUCCCCUCUAUCCUCCUGCCAAGCUUGUCUCUAUCCAAGGGCAAGCAGAUGCCCAGAAACAGUGACUGAGUGUUGAAUGAGCA
rnacentral:lncRNA from 1 species